AUGUGACUUAGUGGUAGAGUGCUUGCCUAGCAUGCAAGAAGCCCUGGUUCAAUUCCACAU
rnacentral:tRNA from 1 species